UUUCAUUCAAUAGAGACGUUUACAGGGAAACUUCAUGUUUGAAUUUUCAUCACCAUUAAAAUCUUUUAUCCUUAUUAUAAACUUAGUAAUUGACAGGCAGACAAUGAAUUGACAUGUUCUUGUCGUGCUAAAAAAGGUUUAGUCCUGGACCAAAAAUUCCACAAGCAAACAGUCGACAGUUAAAACGCCGAAACCAAUACAGUAUUGCGGUUCAUUGAGACAAAGUCCAUGAACAAUGGGCCGUUCUACUAAAGAGAAUCGUAAUCCUACAAUUACAGCCCAAGGUUACUUUCGUCAUUUACACACUGUUACACUGAAAACCCUAAUCCUUAGGGCUUCAAGCACCUUACGGAGACUGCACCACUAUAUAACAAUUACACAAACGCUAACAAUCUCAACACACAGUUCUUCCUCCGAUUAACUAGUGUUUUGAUCGAAACCCUUUUUUUGUUUAGGUUUUACUUUUGGCUUCAUCAGAUAGUCGAUGGGAUUUGUCCGUUCCCGUAUGAUUCGUUCCCUUGAAGCAAUAUCAAUCGUGCUGCUCUCGUUAUUUCAUAUUCCUCCCUAAUCAAUUCACAGCAUCAUACUGUUAAUUUAGUUUGGUGCCGAUUCGGGAUCGAAACUUGAGCGACUACAUAUCUUGUUUAAGUUGUGUCUAAAUCUCUGCUGCUUUGUUUUGUAGUAGUUGUUUGUGGGGAAGAACAGUGAUGAGUCAAUUUACAGACCUGUAAUGAUAGCGGAAACCGUUUUUGUCCAACCAAAUUGGCAACAAGAUGCCUCUUUUGGUGAAGAAGCUACAGGUUCAUUUACUUAUUGGUCAGUCAUAUGGAAUCAGUAGGUUAGCUUAAGAAUUUUCUCUGGAGUAGUAUGUUUAUUUUUUGCGUUAGUAGUUGUUGGUCGGUCAAAUGUAGGUGUUGUGUUUUUGGAUGGCAUAGGAGCUAAGCUUUCGGACCAGUUGUCUUGAGUACAACGGACCAGUAGUCUUGAGUACAGCCAAGAGCUUCACCAAGAGGUGAUGAGGCUUUGGUCCGGUGCAGCAAUCAAAUCCUUGGGAGACUGAUGUCAAUGAGUCAAUAUGGUGGCUGAUGAGUUAAAUUUGUCAGCUACACAAGUAGUGAUUCUAGAUGAUAUUGAUCUUUUUUUGUGUUUGUGGUUGAAACACUAGUAUGGUGUAAAAUUGGUUAAUGAAAAGUUGACGAUUAGUUAAAUAAAAAGAAAAGUUUUUGAACUAA